CUACGGGGGGCUGCAGUGGGGAAUUUUGGACAAUGGGCGCAAGCCUGAUCCAGCCAUUCCGCGUGCAGGACGAAGGCCUUCGGGUUGUAAACUGCUUUUGUACGGAACGAAAAGGCUCUGGUUAAUACCUGGGGCUCAUGACGGUACCGUAAGAAUAAGCACCGGCUAAUUACGUGCCAGCAGCCGCGGUAAUACGUAGGGUGCAAGCGUUAAUCGGAAUUACUGGGCGUAAAGCGUGCGCAGGCGGUGAUGUAAGACAGAUGUGAAAUCCCCGGGCUCAACCUGGGAACUGCAUUUGUGACUGCAUCGCUGGAGUGCGGCAGAGGGGGAUGGAAUUCCGCGUGUAGCAGUGAAAUGCGUAGAUAUGCGGAGGAACACCGAUGGCGAAGGCAAUCCCCUGGGCCUGCACUGACGCUCAUGCACGAAAGCGUGGGGAGCAAACAGGAUUAGAUACCCGGGUAGUC
rnacentral:rRNA from 1 species